UUAAUUGAAGAGUUUGAUCAUGGCUCAGAUUGAACGCUGGCGGCAGGCCUAACACAUGCAAGUCGAGCGGCAGCGACUUAACUGAACCUUCGGGGAACGUUAAGGGCGGCGAGCGGCGGACGGGUGAGUAAUGCCUGGGAAUAUGCCCUGAUGUGGGGGAUAACUAUUGGAAACGAUAGCUAAUACCGCAUAAUCUCUUCGGAGCAAAGAGGGGGACCUUCGGGCCUCUCGCGUCAGGAUUAGCCCAGGUGGGAUUAGCUUGUUGGUGAGGUAAUGGCUCACCAAGGCAACGAUCCCUAGCUGGUCUGAGAGGAUGAUCAGCCACACUGGAACUGAGACACGGUCCAGACUCCUACGGGAGGCAGCAGUGGGGAAUAUUGCACAAUGGGGGAAACCCUGAUGCAGCCAUGCCGCGUGUAUGAAGAAGGCCU
rnacentral:rRNA from 1 species